GACUUGGGGCCGAGACCGAGCGGGGCGAUCCGAGGCGACGCUGGGCGGGGCCGCGGACUGGAUUUUGGGUUUUGAGUUCCUACGGGUUAUAGGAGUCUCUGAGAGUUUCACAGGACCAAUUAUGCAUCGUUUGGUUCUGCCAGCGGUGUUCGAGAAGAAGUGUAGCAGCUCUAGAGAAACAUACUUCGGCUCAGAAUGAGGAGGAUCCAAUUCAAAGCUGUCCCGCAGCCUUGGCGGCCCCUUCAGCGGAGAUGUCAAGCACACAUCACCAUGUCAUUGACAGAGAAAUCAAAUGUGAAACGGGAGACUGGCCCUUCUGGCCUUGACAAUGUAUGAUAGCCCUCUGCUUCAAGAGUGCCCACCUUAUUACUGUCCUGCAGGACUUGCUUAACAGGUUAUUCCUAUUAAAAGGAAUAGGCGCAGUGGCUCACAGCUAUAAUCCCUGCACUUUGGGAGGCUGAGGUGAGAGGAUUGCCUGAACC